CGACCAGGUCGGACAACCGCGGACGCAGGCCGAAAGGCCGCGGAUGAGGAAAGUCCGGGCUCCACAGGGCAGGGAUAACGGGUAACGCCCGCCGAGGGUGACCUCAGGACAAGUGCAACAGAGAGAUACCGCUGGUUUUCCAGUAAGGGUGAAAAGGUAGGGUAAGAGCCUACCCGGCCCAUGGUAACAUGGGUUUUACGCUGUAAACUCUAUCCCGGAGCAACGCCGUGGAGGGACAUUCGA
rnacentral:RNase_P_RNA from 1 species